rnacentral:sRNA from 1 species
UCUCCGAAAGACGAGUCCCCUGAGUGAGAUU